CGACAACACGGAUACCUCGGAGUGCGGCGUGGCAGCGACACGGUGGCCGCGCAACGACGAAAGAGAGAUCGAUCGACCUCUCGCGCCGGAUGGCCGGCGUUCCAUUAACGCGAGCACCUAAACCAGCAUCGCGCCACGGCGCGGUUUAUAGACGCGGUUUAUAUCUCUAAUCAGGCGAUUCACCUUCUCUUAUCAAGAUAACCCAAAAAUGUCAAUUCGGAAGAAUGGAAAGCGGAAGAGAAAUCACUAUAAAACUUGCGAAG
rnacentral:lncRNA from 13 species